rnacentral:rRNA from 1 species
CCCUUAGAUGUUCUGGGCCGCACGCGCGCUACACUGACGAAUGCAACGAGCUUAUAACCUUGGCCGAAAGGUCUGGGUAAUCUCCAAAUUUCGUCGUGAUGGGGAUAGAUUAUUGCAAUUAUUAAUCUUCAACGAGGAAUGCCUAGUAAGCGCAAGUCAUCAGCUUGCGUUGAUUACGUCCCUGCCCUUUGUACACACCGCCCGUCGCUCCUACCGAUUGAAUGGUCCGGUGAAGCGUUCGGACCGUGGCCUUUGGACGGUUCGCCGUCUGUUGGCUGCGGGAAGUUCGUUAAAGCUUAUCAUUUAGAGGAAGGAGAAGUCGUAACA